rnacentral:rRNA from 1 species
UACGGGGGGAGCAAGCGUUGUUCGGAUUUACUGGGCGUAAAGCGCACGUAGGCGGAUUUGUAAGUCAGGGGUGAAAUCCCGGGGCUCAACCUCGGAACUGCCUUUGAUACUGCAAAUCUCGAGUCCGGAAGAGGUGAGUGGAAUUCCUAGUGUAGAGGUGAAAGUUCGUAGAUAUUAGGAAGAAACCACCAGUGGCGAAGGCGGCUCACUGGUCCGGUACUGACGCUGAGG